AACGAACGCUGGCGGUGUGCUUAACACAUGCAAGUCGAACGUGAAAGUUUCCUUCGGGAAACUAGUAAAGUGGCGCAAGGGUGAGUAACACGUGAAUAAUCUGCCCUCGAGAUCGGGAUAACUUGGCGAAAGCUAGGCUAAUACCGGAUAAGACCACAUUUCAUACGAAAUGCGGUAAAAGGAGCCUCAAUCUUCACUCGAGGAUGAGUUCGCGGACCAUUAGCUUGUUGGUGAGAUAAAAGCUCACCAAGGCUACGAUGGAUAGCCGGCCUGAGAGGGUGAUCGGCCACACUGGAACUGAGACACGGUCCAGACUCCUACGGGAGGCAGCAGUGGGGAAUAUUGGACAAUGGGGGCAACCCUGAUCCAGCAAUGCCGCGUGUGUGAUG
rnacentral:rRNA from 1 species